UGGGGAAUUUUCCGCAAUGGGCGAAAACCUGACGGAGCAGACCGCGUGGAGGAGGAAGGUUUGUGGACUGUAAACCCCUUUUAUCAGAGAAGAACACAAUGACGGUAUCUGAUGAAUCAGCCUCGGCUAACUCCGUGCCAGCAGCCGCGGUAAUACGGAGGAGGCAAGCGUUAUCCGGAAUUAUUGGGCGUAAAGCGUCCGUAGGUGGUUGUUCAAGUCCAUUGUCAAAGCGUGAGGCUUAACCUCAUACGGGCAGUGGAAACUGAGUGGCUAGAGUGCGACAGGGGCAAGGGGAAUUCCUAGUGUAGCGGUGAAAUGCGUAGAGAUUAGGAAGAACACCGGUGGCGAAAGCGCCUUGCUGGGUCUGCACUGACACUGAUGGACGAAAGCCAGGGGAGCGAAAGGGAUUAGAUACCCCUGUAGUCCUAGCCGUAAACGAUGGACACUAGGUGUUGCGCGUAUCGACCCGUGCAGUGCCGUAGCUAACGCGUUAAGUGUCCCGCCUGGGGAGUACGCACGCAAGUGUG
rnacentral:rRNA from 1 species